rnacentral:lncRNA from 1 species
UUGUGAUAUUCUUUUCUUGUAGGCUGUCCAAGUAAUGAUUGGCCUGAUCAACGGUGCUCUGGGACGUAUCUGGCUACUUUUUUAUACCAGACAAUUUGAAGAACUUUCCGUAGAGUAUAAGCCUAUAGCCUUGCUAUCAGGAUACCCAUUUUGGACAUUCUUGUUUUUUAUCAUAUCAGGAGUUUUAACAAUACAAACAGAGAAGAAGCGUUCCCCAAAUUUGAAAACUGCAAUGAUUCUUUCUGUGUAUUUGUGGAUAUUCUCCAUCAUGGAAUUGAUCAUAGCAAGGAAAGUGAUCAAAUGGGGGAAUGAAGCGUUUUAUCGUCACAGAUAUGUAACACGUCUUGACCCUCUUUCGGAGAGCUGGUUUAUGGGAAGGAGAGAACCAACAGACCGUGGAAUGUGA